rnacentral:snoRNA from 1 species
UUGCACUUUUUGAACUGGACUGGCCCCUUCCUUAGCCAGUUCCUAAACUCAAAAUAAGUGCUAGAUUAAAUAAAUUCUUGUCAUAACUGGAGUUUCUUGGAAUUUUCUACUGAGAUGCUCUUUUAAAGCAAGACACAAAU